AAGAAGUUUUAACAUCAACAAAACCACAUGAUGCUGAAUACUUCAUCCCACAUUGGCCUCAGUUUCCUCACCUGUAAAUGGGCGCUAAUGACACCAGCCAUGUACCUAGUAUCUCCUGUGCUGGACCCUGAAGGGACUCAGAUACGCCCCAGAACGUGAGGAAGUGUGUCUGCAGUGACUCUGCCACGUCCAUCUGCCUUAGCAGUCCCCAUCCCCGGCAACAGCAGUGGCUGACACUCCCUGCUAAUCAGAACGAGAUCUCACCUCAACAG